CUCCAGUGCCUCUUGUGAUGGGGCAGAGAAAGUAAGCCAUUAGCUGUGCCCUGUGGAAAUGUAUAAAUAAAAUAUUUUGUCAGUAUUCUAGCACCUUUGAUCAGGACAGGCUGUUUCCAGGGUGCUAGCGGCUACUGGGAAUUGUACACAGAGUCCUUCUGUGCUUGUCCUUCCUUGCCUUAAUUUGUGACUGCAAUUAAAGGUGUUUGACAGAUAUAGAUAUAUGGCCCAUGUUCAUAGAAAGGGAUAAAUGUGAAUAAUAAAACGGACCAGCCCAGUUCCAGUGGAACAUUGGAAAAGUGAAAAGCAAGGGGAUGUCAAAACAGGUUGCUUUUUUACAGAUCCCAUCAAGCACCCCGAAGACUGCCUUGUUUAGCUGGUGUUACCUCAUCCUGAGUGGGGUGGCUUGGGUUGUGGGCUGGAAAAUAUAAAAGGAGCCAUAGCAAGAGAAGUCUCUUUUAAAUCUGCUCAACAUCCCCAAAUUUCUGUUGUGUUCAAAGAUGACCCAGUGCAGAGCUGAUACAUUCACCUGCUCUUACACCAGGCAGGCACAAACGCUCUGGGUUUUGCUUUGGAUGUCUUGCAAUACUUGGGAAGCAUAUUCCAGCCCAGUCCAGAACAAAGAGCUAAAUCCUGCUGAAACAAUCAGUCCCUGGGGGCUUGAGGCUAUUCCCUCUAAUGUACAUAUAAAAGUCACUAAUACCAGCUGCAGAUGAAAUUGCAGAUGAAAUCUCACUAAUUAAUUGCAUGAACUUUGUUUCUGCCUGGUUUGCCACUCUCUCAGCCUUGCAUGAAUAUCUGGGCAUCCAUACUGUACACCUCAAUAGGGCUGUUGAUUUUCCAAGGAAGACUAACAAUUUCUGUGCCUAAAAUAGCCAUGCAAUUACUUCUGCUCACAUGGUCUCGCAGUAACAAAAUGGUUUCUGAAAACUGGUUUUGUUUGCACGUGAUUGAAGAGUCGCCCUAUGUUGUUCUGCCAAGUUAGGCACUGAUUCAGGUUUAUGACCAUAUCAUUAAUACUUUAGUACCGCAUCAGUAACUGGUUGCUAUUAAUAUGUAGUGAGACAGUGAUAUAAAAAGGGAGAUGUUCCCACUCAUUUGGCAGAAUUUGCAUUACAGCUGGAUGAAAUUUAUAACACGUUUUCUGCAACCUACUGGUCUGAACUCCUGUUAUUAAUUUCUGCUGUGUUUAUUUCUCCUUUAUGUUCACUUUGGGCAAUAUUCUAUCAAGUUUCCUGGCAGGCACAACAGUGGAUAUAGCUAAUUUCAGCUGACUGCAGGAGGACUUUGUAGAAAGUGAAUUUUGAAUUAGCGCUAGUAUUUGCAGCAAAAAUCUCCCCCUGUGAAGCCUAUUCCCCUCAGCCUGGUGUCUGCAGCACUUAAGUUCAUGUGAAUAGCCCUAUUGACUUCAGGUGGGCAGCUGUUUAAUUACCUUCCUGAAUCGAGGCCAGGACCAGGAAUCAAGCCCCCAGCAGCCGACCUGGGUGCCUAGUCAAACUGCUUGUCUCCUGAACGCCAAACUUCUGCGAGUGACCCACGGACUGUUUGAAUAGAUCUGCAUCUGCUCUUGUCCCUCUUCUGUUCUCAGAUCACCCUUUGGCUUCCCUUAGGAAUCCAGCUGUGUCAUCACAUUGUGUGGCAUCCUAAUAUUUCAUACUAAGCUGUAAGCCAAUUAGGAAUGACUACUUACCAUGCUGAAUCAUAGGAAAAGUAUAAUGUGUCCUUCAUAUAACGAACCUCCUCUUUUUUGGCAAGACAGAUAACCUACACUUUAUAUUUAUAAGCCCUAUGGCUUUUCACGAUACCCAAUUAGGACGCAGCUUCCUUUCGCACUGCUGCAGUAUUUUAAGGGACUUGUUUACAGAUGGAUGCUUAUUGAAAGUGCUGACCUACCACCAUUAUACCUUAUAACAUCUUUCAUCUGCAGAGACUGAAGCACUGGACAAAACUUGAUGUUGUAAUCACCUUUAACAGGAUGAGAACAUGAGUGCAGCAAAAUAUAAACACCUUAUCCCGAGUUCCUAAACAAACUGCUGACCCUGGAAGAGAGCGUACACAUUAUCAUGUGCCUCCCAGAACUGAGGGAAGUGUCAAUUAAAGUCAGACUGUAAAAUAAAGCCUGUUGUAUCUAAAAGGAAGAAGGAUGAACCACUGAUGUGGGUAUUUGCUUGAGGUACUGAAGAGGCAGUUGGAGAAUCAGUGUAUGGAUGUGUGAAGUGGUUAGUAAUUAGCAUCAAAGAGAAAGAUAUUAAAAUUUAUUUCCCAUGCUGAAGUAAUUAAUGGGCUAUUAUGCCAGGUGUCUAAGCUGCCCGGAGGUCUGGGAUAAAUAGCAUUACAGCAGAAGAUGCAAAAUAUGACUUAGGGUGAAAUGGAAGGAUGUUCUAGCAGAGCACUUAGGACGCCCCCCUUCUCCAAAUGCUGUUGCUUUUUCCUAAGUCGCUAAGAAGCGGCUGGUGGUAUUUAUUACCUGGGAAGAGAUGUGCUCCUUUGAAUUUGUCUUUGGAUCCUAGCACUGUUACAAACCGAAGGCUCCUGUGACCUGUGCCUGACACCUGCAUCUUUCACGUCUCAUCUAAUCUUGUCAGGCUUCACCAUGGGGUGAGCAGGGCAGCACCCGAGUGGCGGCACCCUGUCCCCACAGAGGCCAGGUAGCUACCUACCACCCUCGGGCAACAGAUUUUAUGUCUAGAGUUAAGGACUGCAUUCAAAUAACGCCCCUGGCUGCAGAUAUGUCUAGGAAGAAAGGCUAACCUCAGAUUCAGCUUGCCUAAAGCAUCUCCCAAACCAAGUCCGGCCAUUUUUGUUGUUUCAGCUGCUAACAGAGUGUGGCUGAACAAAGCGUGGGAGCCUCUGGGUUAAGGCUUCUUCAGCAAGGUCUGGCCAUCCAUUGCUAGGGUUCAAUUUGCUGCUUCACUGAUCACAUCCCCUUGCAUUCCCUCCCAAAUACCUCGGGGACAAACAAGUUUUCCCUCAACCUGCCAGGAGAGAGCUGUGGUGAUUCACAGCACUGACAUCUGGGGCCGAAAGCAUAACUGCAGGCAGCUGUAGGGGAUCGGGGAGGUUCUGCCUUGCUGUCCAGGGUAAGGAAUCCCACCUGGGCUCAGCAAGCCUGAGGACUCAGGUGUUUGUAGUGAACUCCGGUGGUAAGGUGGAACAAAGGAAGUGACGGUGUAAUUCUCUCUUCAUGUGGAAGACAAAGUUUAGGAUAUUUUUCUUGCCAAGAGAAACCUUUGAAUACGCUUAAAAUCUCGCUGUCCCUGCGACGGGCCUUAUUAGCACUCAGAGGAGGCGGCGUGGGUUGGAUGGCAGUAGCGUGUGCUGUUCUGCUGCACGCAGAAUUAUGCCUUGUGGAGGAGAUGUCGGAGCUGACCUUGGCGUACGCCUGCUGGACGUCCAGGUUGCAGUCAGCUUGCAGGGGUAUUUGAGUGUGUCUGCGAGUCCAUGAACUGAUCUACUGAGGUCUGGUGGACUGCUCACGUGCUGGUACCAGGCAUCAUUUGGAGUUUACGUCACUGACUGUUUAGUUCUUUGGAGUAUGAGCCAUGUUAGACCAUGCUUCCCAUAAAUAAGGGAGCUCAGGUGCUGAGCCAGGUCCGUUGCUGGAGGUACACGAUCACCUUCCCUCUCCCGUGUGCUGUGAAACGUGUGGCACUGCCUCCGCUGGCUCGUGGCCAGGUGUUGGAGUCUGUUUAGCCGUGGCUGGACUUGUUGCGUGUGUUCUUCAUCCAUCACAAGCCCUGUCUGGGCUUGGCAAGCGCCGCCUAGGCCACGGGCAGCAGCCCUGCCAGGUGAGCCGUUAGCGGCUGAUCUCGGCUGGAGGUCUUCUUCCUGCAGGUCUCGAACGCAAUUCAGCCGUGCCAAGCAGCAAACUGUGGCUACGCUCACGUGCGUGCGGCAGCGGAAACAGUUUGACACGCACAUCAGAAAUGUCACUUCAUUUAGCCAACGACUCUUGGCUGAGAAAGGCCUGGACUUGUGCUCGGACCUGCAAGAGACCAGAUGGCUAAUGUGGUCAUCAGCCGCCGCACCGUAAUCCCACAGCCAAACUUGGCUUUCCACAGAGGUCUGUGAAACGGGAGUGAAAUGCAGAAUGUUAAAUACAAAGCAAAGCAGAACCACUCCAUUAUAACCUGCAGUGAUGGGAAUUCAGUGCUGCUUUUAAGCAGCGGGGUUCUUAACUCCAGGCUUUUUCUGUUUGGUUUUAUUUCCCAAACCCUGCAUUAUCUUGUUAGGAGAGACAUUAUUUCCCUUUGGUAAUUUCUCUUCGCUUCCUCAAAUCUCCUGCAUUUUUUAAGCUCGCAGUGGGGAGAUUAGAAUUUAUAGUUGUUGGAGCUCUGUCUUUCUCUCUUUUUUCCCCUUUCCUAAUUCUUCAACUCAUCAUGUUCAAAUAGUGCUAAUUAAAUCUGUUCUCGCUUAAAAUGUGGUCCUGCCUUCGGUAGGCAAAAUUACAGCUGGACUCUCCCGAAGCUGUGCAACCUGGCAGCGUUUCAGCAGAAGGCAGCGGCACUACGCUGGGGUAGGCUGGUCGAUGGAUCCGAGUCAGGCCUCUGGUUCUUCGAGCUGUGGGCUCUGCUGUCUGUCAGAGCUUGCGUGCGAGGUUACGUGAGCACCAGCACGUCGCUCGUCUGGGUCACCUCAGAGCCUUUGGGAUCCCCUGCACUGCCCCUUGGUUUUGGGGAGGGUUUAUUAGUAGGGUCCAGCCCCCGGUGGCUGUGUGCUGCACCCAAAGGGGAAGUCUAAGAGCAAAGCCACCGGCAGAGCCAGCAGCCAGGGUCCCUGCGUUAUUGCUUUUUGCUGUCAGGUUUAUCCCAGCCUUUCAAUACCUAGAUAAUGAAAAACUGCUGGCAGAUUCCUGUGCAGGCCUUGCCCACUGUGUAGUAGGAGAAGAGGGAGCACAGCCUGGAUCAAGUCUCCGGUGUGGAUGUCUCCCUGGAGGUGAUAUCACAGGCACCUGAGUUCAACAGGUGCUUCCAGCUGGCUGUGGCACUUUUUCUCAUGUUCUGUCCUGGACUCUUGUAUUCCUGUCCCCAGCUGUCUUUUAGGAGUAUCUGGAUUUAGUGGCAUGGGAUUUUUUCCUCGUGGCAGAGGUUUUGGUACUAGCCCUUGCACUCCUUUCAAAAAUUGGAGCCAGAGACUCCACAAAGUCCACAGGAGACUUUGCUGUUGUGAUCGACCCAUGGUACAGCACCACUCUGAAAUCCUGAGAUAGAUGUGUAAUUUGAGAAUUCUUCAGAAGAAAAGAUGAGAGAUAUACAGUAGAAAUGCAAGAGAUGUAAUUAUUGUUAUUGCUGGGUCUGUGCUGAGUAGCACUGCUGGGAAAAGGUCCCACGUUGCCUUUCUGUUCCUCUUGGGAUAUAGAGUAGGAGACUUGCUUAGACCCAAGAAAAACUGCUUCUGUGCCUGCAUCUGAUUCAUGCUGCAUAGUUAAAUGCCAUGGGAAAGCACUUGUAAUACAAACAUUUUUGUUUAUAGGCAGACAUUUAAUUAUCAUAUUACAGAAUUCUCAGGCCCAGCUGCCACAUGAGAUUUCUGGCUAGGAGAUUUAACAUAAAAUUAAAACACGGCGUCACAUGCCCGUUUAGCUGGAAAUCGGAGCAGGGUAUUUGCACUUUCCUGUUCUCUGGAAAGAGCUUCCUGGAUGAUAUUUCUGUGCAGAUUAGUCAUGAGAAGUUGGCAUGCUCUAAGCUUGAUGACGUCUUCGAGACAGGAUCAGAGAGCAAAUAUUGUGAUCUGUUCAGCAUGGGCUCCCUGCGACUGAUUAAAUUGCUUCUCCAAGGAGUCUGGUUGUUUGCUAGGGCUGGAGAACUGGGUAUCUGCAGAAAGGAAAACUAAAGUGGAUUGUUUUCAUUCCUUGGAACCCAAAGUUUUCUUGAUAGUCCUGAAAGCUUUGGGAAAGUGUUAGCUGCUCCAGUGAGCGGUGGAAAACACUGCUAGAUGUUAACAACUUUCUGUAAAGGAAAGCCUUGGAAGCCUACUUCACAUGGUUUGCAAGAUGAAAUAU